rnacentral:tRNA from 1 species
ACGCCGUUUUCGUAAGUCGUUGUGUCGUCGUCGCUUACGUCUUGCGAGCAUCGGUCUACGGAACCGAAGGUUACAGGUUCGAAUCCUGUGCGGCGUA